rnacentral:misc_RNA from 1 species
CAGGACUCGCAAGACUCCCGUAAACCACUGUGAACCUACCUAUUGUUGCCUCGGCGGGUGCUUGAGCUCAGCGCCCAGCCCGCCGCUGGCCCCUUACUCUGACUCACUGCGUUGGCAUCUCAGAGAAAACACAAACCAAUUA